GGGGAAUAUUGCACAAUGGAGGAAACUCUGAUGCAGCAAUGCCGCGUGUGUGAAGAAGGCCUUCGGGUUGUAAAGCACUUUCAAUAGGGAGGAAAAGUUGUAGGUUAAUACCCUGCAACCGUGACGUUACCUAUAGAAGAAGGACCGGCUAACUCCGUGCCAGCAGCCGCGGUAAUACGGAGGGUCCGAGCGUUAAUCGGAAUUACUGGGCGUAAAGCGCGCGUAGGCGGAUAAGUAAGUCAGAUGUGAAAUCCCCGGGCUCAACCUGGGAACUGCAUUUGAUACUGUUUAUCUAGAGUGUGGUAGAGGUGAGUGGAAUUUCAGGUGUAGCGGUGAAAUGCGUAGAUAUCUGAAGGAACAUCAGUGGCGAAGGCGACUCACUGGGCCAUUACUGACGCUGAGGUGCGAAAGCGUGGGUAGCAAAC
rnacentral:rRNA from 1 species